UUUCCGGUGUGCAUUCCUGGUUCGUCUGUGUGGUUCCCUCUGGCUCUCUUUCACAGUGUGUCUUUUGUCCAAUCUCCCUCUCCUCAACCCCAACCAGCUGCAGCAGAUGGCUGCCCCUCCCUCAAUAUGGCUCUGUCAUAGAAACCUGUCGCAUGGCAGCUGACUGGAGAGGAGGGAGUUUUCUGGAGUAGAAACACUGAGGGACGAACUGGGAAGAUGGGAAUGAGUAACACAUCGGAAUGUCAUCAACCAAUCCAGCACCCACA